AACCUCGGGGUGCCGCCUCCACAGGCUGUGGCUGGGGCUGGGGCGCGGGAGGCCCGCGGGGCUUCGGAGAGGGAAACUUAGAGAAAAGUCUUCCACUUGGCUUGGGGCCGCAGGGGAAGGAAGACGCCCUCCGCCUGUGCCGGCGCCGACCGCGGGCCGGCAGGUGGGGAGGCCCAGAGCUGGCGGGGAGUUCGUCCCACUCGGAGCCACAGCCUUGCCCGAGGGAGCCUCGAAAUCGUUCAAGGGCAACCUCAGACCAGAGCCAGGGCGCCUCCUCCACAUUCCUGACAGAUGUGCACGCCGCCUCCUCUUGGAUGCUUCCCGUGACAAGGAGCUCACUCCUCAACAAGGCGGACUGCUCGUCCAUCAAGCCUGGCAUCUAAUUCACCUGUGCCGGGUACCGCAGAUGGAGAACGCCAGACAGCUGACACAAAUGCAAGACCCACAGCAACCCCAGGUGGGACCGUGAGGCCUCUUCUAAGUGCCUGGGUGUUCAAAAAUGCCUCCCGAGCCCAGUGUUUUCCCAGAGCAUUUCCCAGAGUGACUGAGCAGGACUGGACCCUAUUAGGUCACCUCAGUCUCAUGCAGGAUUUCUUUACCUGGCCGCUACUGCCAUUUGGGGCCGGCUAAUGCUUUGUUAUUGGGGCUAAUGCUUUGUUAUUGGGGCCAGCUAAUGCUUUGUUAUUAAACCUCCUUCAAAACUGCAGGAGGUUUAACGGUAUCCAUGGCCUCUCCAUGAUUCAUAAAAUACCCAUAGCAUCAGCCUCUCUCUGUAACGACCAGAAAUGUCUCUAGAUAUCACAAGUGUCCUCCGGGGGCAAAAUCGUCGAGGUCUAAUACCAUCAUUUUAGAGAUAAGGAAACUGAGGCCUAGAGAGUGGAGGUGACUUGCUCAAGGCCAUAUGGCAAGUGAGGACCAGACAGGACUGAGCCCAGGGCUCUGGUGAAAGGAUCCCCAGGCCUCUCUGCCCUGCUGCUCUCUCCUCACACCCUCCUCCUCCAUCUUCCCUGGAUUUCCACCAAAUCAGCCUGCCUUCUAGAAGUUAGAAAGAAAAGAAUUCACAUCUGAGCAUACACGAAAAGUCCAGCCUUCCCCCUGGGAUGUAAAAUGGUGCAGCCACUUUGGAAAAGAGUCUAGCAGUUCCUCAAAAAGU
rnacentral:lncRNA from 1 species